AGAGUUUGAUCAUGGCUCAGGACGAACGCUGGCGGCGUGCUUAACACAUGCAAGUCGAGCGGGGGACGUGGAACGGAAGGUUUCGGCUGGAAGGUUCAUGUUCUAGCGGCGGACGGGUGAGUAACGCGUGAACAAUCUGUCCCAGACAGGGGGAUAACACUUGGAAACAGGUGCUAAUACCGCAUAAGACCACGAGACCACAUGGUUUAGGGGUAAAAGGAGCAAUCCGGUUUGGGGUGAGUUCGCGUCCGAUUAGCUAGUUGGCGAGGUAACGGCCCACCAAGGCGACGAUCGGUAGCCGACCUGAGAGGGUGAUCGGCCACAUUGGAACUGAGGAACGGUCCAAACUCCUACGGGAGGCAGC
rnacentral:rRNA from 1 species